CGUUGGUGUUUAAUGAAAUAAACCUCAUAGUAGAAUGCUUGUUUUUUUGAUUUUUGUUUUUAUCUAGGUGGAGUUUUAAACACUUUGGCUUCUGACACUUCCAAAAAUGUAGUGUUUGACAUUCACAUUAGAGUGUCCUUCAAUGACCAAAAGUAGCUAAUCACCAUCACAGUUCAUAGUACUUCUAAUUAAGAAGAAUCUACAGGAAUAGAGUGUCAAUCUUAUGUGAAUUAGUACAAAAUCCUCAUAUGAACUUUUAAGAAACCUUGGCAUAUAUAUAUUUUAAUGACUGGUUUAUCCCCUGCAGUGAACCUCGUUAAUCCCUUUAAAAUUUACCCUUUCAAGUUUCCGAUCAACAUGACUAGAAAUAUUAAAGUACUGAAUAAUAAGAUGUUCCAGACUAAAAUCAUAUGUAAAUAAUCUCUCUUAAUGGUUUCAGAAGCGAUGUCAGAUAUAAAACAUACCAUAAAAGGGGGAUUAGAGAAGGGAGAUAACAAAAGGGUUUCAGAAACAUGUCAGGUAUCCUAAAACAUACCAUAAAAGGGGAUUAGAGAAGGGAGAUAACAAAAGGGUUUCAGAAACAUGUCAGGUAUCCUAAUAAAUUACCAUAAAAGGGGGAUUUGAGAUUGGAGAUAGCUAAAGGGUUUCAGAAACAUGUCAGGUAUCCUAAAACAUAAUAAAUUACCAUAAAAGGGGGAUUUGA
rnacentral:lncRNA from 1 species